rnacentral:lncRNA from 1 species
CAGACCAGGAUUCUGCACCAGGGGACCCAGGCCAGAUUGAAAGGCCAGAGGUGACUUUUCAGAAACAGUCAUUUGAAACCUGGAAGAAGAGCCAUCAUCACAGCAAGUCCCAGCUGGUAACCGACGUGGGUGCCCCCAGCCCCAUCCCAGGUCUGCCAGCAGCUCCGUGUCCCUCCCGUUACCCACCAUGCCCUGCUUCCGUUUCCCUCGUGUUGUCCACACACCAGACUCACUGUGCUUCCUGGAGGUGGGGCCCUAUCUCUGUGUCUCUGCCACCAUCCAUAGUGCCUGGGAUGUGAAAGGCGAUCAGGAAACGUUACCGGAAGGCACGUAUAGACGUGGACCUGUGGACUCGGGCUGGCUGCGGGUCACUGGUCCCUGCAUCCUUGCCACCCUCCCUCCUGGAGCCUGACGCAGACGUCUUUGAAUCAUCCUCUUUCUGGGGAGAGAAGUCAUUGCGACACAAAUAAGAGAAAAAAGACUGAUACAAAAGGCAAAUUAUUUCA